rnacentral:tRNA from 1 species
GGUCCGGUAGCUCAGCUGGAUAGAGCAUCAGAUUUCUAAUCUGGCGGUCAUAGGUUCGAAUCCUAUCCGGAUCA